AGGGGCAGCGAGAAGGAAGCUUGCUUUCUUUGUCGGCGUCCGGCGCACGGGUGAGUAACGCGUAUCCAACCUUCCCUAUAGUAGAGGAUAGCCCGGCGAAAGUCGGAUUAAUACUCUAUGUUAUUCAAUGCGGACAUCUAAGUUGAAUCAAAGAUUAAUCGCUAUAGGAUGGGGAUGCGUCUGAUUAGGUUGUUGGCGGGGUAACGGCCCACCAAGCCAACGAUCAGUAGGGGUUCUGAGAGGAAGGUCCCCCACAUUGGAACUGAGACACGGUCCAAACUCCUACGGGAGGCAGCAGUGAGGAAUAUUGGUCAAUGGGCGAGAGCCUGAACCAGCCAAGUAGCGUGCAGGAUGACGGCCCUAUGGGUUGUGAACUGCUUUUAUACGGGGAUAAAGUGAGGGACGUGUCCCUUAUUGUAGGUACCGUAUGAAUAAGGACCGGCUAAUUCCGUGCCAGCAGCCGCGGUAAUACGGAAGGUCCGGGCGUUAUCCGGAUUUAUUGGGUUUAAAGGGAGCGCAGGCCGAUGGUUAAGCGUGACGUGAAAUGUAGCCGCUCAACGGCUGAACUGCGUCGCG
rnacentral:rRNA from 1 species